rnacentral:rRNA from 1 species
AAUUAACUUCGGUUAAUUUUAGUGGCGGACGGGUGAGUAACACGUGAGAAUUCGCCUUUAGGAGGGGGAUAACGGAUGGAAACAUUCGCUAAAACCCCAUAUGCCCCUGGGCGAAACAGAGGAGAUAAGUAAUACUGACUCUUACCUCUGCCUGAAGAGAAGCUCGCGGCUGAUUAGCUAGUUGGUAGGGUAAAGGCCUACCAAGGCGACGAUCAGUAGCUGGUCUGAGAGGACGAUCAGCCACACUGGAACUGAGACACGGUCCAGACUCCUACGGGAGGCAGCAGUGAGGAAUUUUCUGCAAUGGGCGAAAGCCUGACAGAGCAAUACCGCGUGAGGGAUGAAGACUUACUGAGUUGUAAACCUCGGUACCUUAAGGAAGAAGAUCUGACGGUACUUAAGGUGGAAAGCAUCGGCUAACUCCGUGCCAGCAGCCGCGGUAAGACGGGGGAUGCAAGUGUUAUCCGGAUUUACUGGGCGUAAAGCGUCUGCAGGUGGUUUUCUAAGUCUACUGUUAAAUCUUGAGGCUCAACCUCAAAUCUGCAGUAGAAACUAGAAGACUUGAGUAUAGUAGGGGUAGAGGGAAUUUCCAGUGGAGCGGUGAAAUGCGUAGAUAUUGGAAAGAACACCGAUGGCGAAGGCACUCUACUGGGCUAUUACUGACACUCAGAGACGAAAGCUAGGGGAGCAAAUGGGAUUAGAUACCCCCAGUAGUCCUAGCCGUAAACGAUGGAUACUCGAUGUUGGGACGGU